GACGAACGCUGGCGGCGUGCCUAAUACAUGCAAGUAGAACGCUGAAGAGAGGAGCUUGCUCUUCUUGGAUGAGUUGCGGACGGGUGAGUAACGCGUAGGUAACCUGCCUGGUAGCGGGGGAUAACUAUUGGAAACGAUAGCUAAUACCGCAUAAUAUUGAUUAUUGCAUGAUAAUUAAUUGAAAGAUGCAAUUGCAUCACUAUCAGAUGGACCUGCGUCGUAUUAGCUAGUUGGUGAGGUAAAGGCUUACCAAGGCGACGAUACAGAACCGAACUUGGGAGGGGGUCGGCCACACUGGGACUGGGGCACCGCCCAGGCUCCUACCGGGAGGAGCAGGAAGGGAAUUUCCGGAAUGGGGCGAACCCUUACCGGGGAACGGCGCGGGGGUGGAGAAGGUUUUCCGGUCGUAAAGCUCUGUUGUUAGGGAAGAACGGGUUUGGGAGUGGAAUAUGCACGCUGUGACGGUAUCUUACCAGAAAGGGACGGCUAACUACGUG
rnacentral:rRNA from 1 species